rnacentral:rRNA from 1 species
AUUGAACGCUGGCGGCAGGCCUAACACAUGCAAGUCGAACGGUAACAGGAAGCAGCUUGCUGCUUCGCUGACGAGUGGCGGACGGGUGAGUAAUGUCUGGGAAACUGCCUGAUGGAGGGGGAUAACUACUGGAAACGGUAGCUAAUACCGCAUAACGUCGCAAGACCAAAGAGGGGGACCUUAGGGCCUCUUGCCAUCGGAUGUGCCCAGAUGGGAUUAGCUAGUAGGUGGGGUAACGGCUCACCUAGGCGACGAUCCCUAGCUGGUCUGAGAGGAUGACCAGCCACACUGGAACUGAGACACGGUCCAGACUCCUACGGGAGGCAGCAGUGGGGAAUAUUGCACAAAGGGCGCAAGCCUGAUGCAGCCAUGCCGCGUGUAUGAAGAAGGCCUUCGGGUUGUAAAGUACUUUCAGCGGGGAGGAAGGGAGUAAAGUUAAUACCUUUGCUCAUUGACGUUACCCGCAGAAGAUGCACCGGCUAACUCCGUG